UCCCCGUUGCCGGGGCAGUCUGAUUAGAAAAAUACAACUAAUCAUAAGGGUUGCGCUCGUUGAUGGACUUAACCAAACAUCUCACGACACGAGCUGACGACGGCCAUGCAGCACCUGUCACCGAGUUCCGGCUUUCAACACACAAUCUCGCUUAACUGCGAUAAUAAUUCUGUGCUCAAAGCCGGCACUCACUCCUUUCGGAGUAAUUCUCGGGAUGUCAAACCCUGGUAAGGUUCUUCGCUUAGCAUCGAAUUAAAGAACAUGAUCCACCGCUUGUGCGGGUCCCCGUCUAUUCCUUUGAGUUUUAAUCUUGCGACCGUACUCCCCAGGCGGGAUGCUUAACGCGUUAGCUUUGCUACUGCACGGGUCGAUACGUCCAACAGCUAGCAUCCAUAGUUUA
rnacentral:misc_RNA from 1 species